UGAAGAUAGCGAGAGGACGUCCGAUUGACAACGUGGACAAAAUAAUCUCGGCCUUCAGGAAGUUCGACCGGGACAGCUGUGGUUUCAUCUCAACUGAAGACAUGCGCACCAUGCUCACUUCAGUAGGAGAAAAACUCACCCCACAGGAGGUGGAAGAAUUGGUUGAGUUCGCGGACAAGCACAGAGAGGGUAAAGUGGACUACGAGGAGUUUGCCAGACUCAUAGCCCCCCGUCCACUCACCUGCCUCAGGAUGCCACAGUCAGCAGGGGGAGGGACCAAGAACCAAGUUAACGUCAAUGUCAACCAUCCAGCAUAGCCCACAUACAUAACCAACUGCCUUGUCUUGAAAUGAUACUAACAUUCUACCCUCUAUUUUAUUGAAAAGAGUUCAUUUUUUGAUAUUGAUGAAGUUAUUUUAUCAAAACUGUCGAUGAGUUUAUUGGAAAGUUUCGAGCGGAUGAGCUUUGAACGUUUUUCGCGCAAUCUAUCAACUUUUUUGAGAUUCAGCUAAAACAGUUCUGGUAAAAUUAAUUUCUUGAUGCCUGGAUGCAAAAAAAUGAAUGUAAAUAUACGCAAUUAUUUUUCCAAUUUGAAAUUAAAAUCAUCAAUUCAUUUCAAUAAAAUCGUUUCUGUA